AUUGAACGCUGGCGGCAUGCCUUACACAUGCAAGUCGAACGGCAGCACGGGUGCUUGCACCUGGUGGCGAGUGGCGAACGGGUGAGUAAUACAUCGGAACAUGUCCUGUAGUGGGGGAUAGCCCGGCGAAAGCCGGAUUAAUACCGCAUACGAUCUACGGCUGAAAGCGGGGGACCUUCGGGCCUCGCGCUAUCGGGUUGGCCGAUGGCGGAUUAGCUAGUUGGUGGGGUAAAGGCCUACCAAGGCGACGAUCAGUAGCUGGUCUGAGAGGACGACCAGCCACACUGGGACUGAGACACGGCCCAGACUCCUACGGGAGGCAGCAGUGGGGAAUUUUGGACAAUGGGCGAAAGCCUGAUCCAGCAAUGCCGCGUGUGUGAAGAAGGCCUUCGGGUUGUAAAGCACUUUUGUCCGGAAAGAAAUCCUUGGCCCUAAUACGGUCGGGGGAUGACGGUACCGGAAGAAUAAGCACCGGCUAACUACGUG
rnacentral:rRNA from 1 species